GUGCUUGCUUUAGCAGCAUAUGUACUAAAAUUGGAGCAAUUCAGAGAAUAUUAGCAUGGCCCCUAUGCAAGGAUGACAUUAAAAUUCAUGAAGUAUUCAAAUUUUUU
ensembl:snRNA U6 U6 spliceosomal RNA